rnacentral:snRNA from 1 species
GGAUGUGAGGGUGAUCUGGCUGGGACAUCUGUUGUGUCCCACUGAUCCGCCAGGGUUGAUUCGCCUCAUCUGGCUGCCUAGGCCGGUGUCCACUUCCUCCAUCACCGCCCCACAUAUGUCUCUCCCCAUGCAAUGUGCUGGGGGGGAAAAGGACCACUUACCCAGAUAGAGGAGUCGCCUGUCAAGGGUAUAGGAAUAGCUGGGCUCCUCACUAGAACCUCAAACAAGCUCUCAAGGUCCGUACUAGUAGCUUAAAAAAAAGAGAGAGAGAGAGAGAGAGAAUUAAAUGAAAACCAGGAUUCUCAAUCU